GACGAACGCUGGCGGCGUGCUUAACACAUGCAAGUCGAACGCUGAAGCUCAGCUUUUGUUGGGUGGAUGAGUGGCGAACGGGUGAGUAACACGUGAGUAACCUGCCCCCUUCUUUGGGAUAACGCCCGGAAACGGGUGCUAAUACUGGAUAUUCACUGGUCUUCGCAUGGGGGUUGGUGGAAAGGGUUUUUCUGGUGGGGGAUGGGCUCGCGGCCUAUCAGCUUGUUGGUGGGGUGAUGGCCUACCAAGGCUUUGACGGGUAGCCGGCCUGAGAGGGUGACCGGUCACAUUGGGACUGAGAUACGGCCCAGACUCCUACGGGAGGCAGCAGUGGGGAAUAUUGCACAAUGGGCGCAAGCCUGAUGCAGCGACGCCGCGUGAGGGAUGGAGGCCUUCGGGUUGUGAACCUCUUUCGCUCAUGGUCAAGCCGCAACAAUGGUUGUGGUGAGGGUAGUGGGUAAAGAAGCGCCGGCUAACUACAUG
rnacentral:rRNA from 1 species